UGGCUUUGGCAGCCCAUAUACUAAAAUUGGAACAAUACAGGGAUUAUUAGCAUGGCCCCUGCACAAGGACGACAAACACAUUCUUGAAGCUUUCCAUAUAUAU
ensembl:snRNA U6 U6 spliceosomal RNA